GUCAUGCAUAUGCUCUGGAACAGAGUAAUAUCGCGUCCAUAUCGCAGACUAUGCAAUUAGGAAAUCGCAAACGUCUCAAAUCGUGAUUUCGAUUCGAUUUCGAUUAAUCGCACAGCCCUAAUAUAAAUAUAGU